rnacentral:lncRNA from 1 species
AUGUCUCUUACCAAAGUCAAACUAGACAUCUGUUGUUUGAUAUUUUAUCCUAUAAAUCAAUACGCUGUGAAUCCAGCUGCCGUCAGAGAAAGACGUGGUACACUGCUUGAUAAACAAUAUAAGCAUAAGAAACCUAACAUCAGACCUGGCUGGAAAGAACAUGUAUCUAUGUACCAUGAUGAAGCUCGUAUAGCUUAUAAAUGUUGGGCCAUGGCUGGAAGACCUAAACAAGGCCCAGAAUUUGAACAGAAAAAAUGUGCGAAUGCCAGAUAUAAGUACGCUGUUCGCUUUAUAACUAAAAAUGAGCAAAUGCUGAGAGCAGAUUCUUUGGCCAGGAAAAUGCUGUGUAAUAAUAUGACAGAUUUUUGGAAAGAGGUGAAAGCUCUUAAUAACUGUAAACCAUCUUUACUAUCAACUGUUGAAGGUGUUUCUGGGGCAGAUAACAUUGCAGCAUUAUGGAGACAGCAUUACAGUGCGUUGUUUAACUGUAUAAAAAGUGAUCCAUAUGAGGACAAUUUUGACAUGAGUAAUGACACAAUAAGUGUAAGGACACAUGAAGUAUAUGAAGCCAUUCAUAGGUUGCCUGAUAAUAAAUCCUCUGGUUUGGAUCACAUCACUGCAGAACAUUUAAAACAUGCUAGUUUAAGGCUAGCUCCUCUUUUAGCACUCUGUUUCACUGGGUUUAUGAUUCAUGGCAUAUUACCAGACUCAAUGCUGUGUAUUUUAUUGGUACCAGUUAUGAAAGACAAAGCUUCAAAAGUGAGCUGUUUGGAUAAUUACAGGCCGAUUGCACUAGCCAGUAUUUUAUCUAAGGUGUUAGAAAGAAUCUUGUUUGACAGAGUUAGUGUGUUCAUCUCUUCUCUGGAUAAUCAGUUUGGCUUCAAACCAAAGCACGGCACUGACAUGUGCAUAUAUGCACUCAAGGAAAUAGUCAGUUUGUAUAGGGCUAAAAAUUCAUCUGUCCUCAUGUGUUUCAUUGAUGCCUCUAAGGCUUUUGAUCGAGUGAACCACAGAAAACUUUUUGAUAAAUUGAAGAGACGGGGAGUUCCUCAAUACAUCGUGAGGAUUCUCUUACUGGUACGCUCAUCAGAGCAUGUAGGUUAA